rnacentral:lncRNA from 1 species
AUAUCAAAGAGCUGGAUGGAAAUGGAUUGCAAUACCUCACAUGGGACAGACCUCUCGAGCUGUACAGCUGAAGCAGCAUUUAAAGAACCAGUGCUUGCGAAGACGAAGAAGGGCAGGGUCAAGGGAAGGAAAUUUUGAGACGCUUGAAUUGGAACCCUUGAAAAUAAACAAAAGCCACCACUUCAGAUGCACGCAACAAACAAAAGGAAGCCAACAGAUAACGCAGCAGCUCCGAAAGCAGGUGGGAGCUCUUCCUUGCAGCGCUGUGCCAAUGCUGGCACCCUGUUUGAGUUGGUUUUGGCUGUGGUGCCAGUUCAAAACUUACCCAAAAUCGUGUUUGAAACACAUUAUUUUUUGUUUAAAUAGGAUUUUGGGGUGCGAGAUUAUUUUUCUUCAACUCCUUGUCCCUCCUACAGGUACAAUGUACUUGUCUGGGGAAGCUACAAAAAGAAAUUCAUCGUUAUAAUUCUCUGAGAGUGCUGGUAACAAGAUCUCUCCGUGUCACGCUGGAGCCAUAAUUCUUCUUCGCAUUUUUUUUUUAGUAGGGGGGGUGCUGAGCGUCGUGCACCAUAUGGCUUUUGCAGCCAAAACUCCGGGUGCAGUAACUGGGACGUUCACAAGGUGAGGAAUCAGCUUCUUGGCUGCCACACGUGGCUUAGCUGGGGAUGGGUGCUGUGCUGGGGAAGAUACGUCCCUGCCCGCAGCCGUGAAAUUUCCAAAGCAGGACUGGGGCCCUAAUGUGAUUAUAAUGCAAGUCAGGACGUAAUUCUUAAUGCAGAAGGGGAUGUGGGAGUGCAAACCCUGUUUGAUAUGGUAAAAUCUUCGCCGUUCUGUAGCUCUCAGCCUGAAGUUCUGCACCCAUUGAAGAUUUCCAAAGUCGGAGCUUUAGCAUCGCUUUAAUGUGAAAUACUUAUUUUUACAUUACAAAGAAAAUAACGGCCUAGAAAGGGGAAGUGUUCACAAAACACCGGGAUUAGGACUGUGAAAAAUGGCACAGAAAAUUGCUCUCAGGUCCGCGUUUCAGAGCCCAAGUGGCCUGAGCUCUCAGCUCUCCGGGAGCUGCUGAGCACUCAGUGGGUGUCUGGAAAUGAGGCCACCGAUUCUGGCUGCUGUGUGGGGACUGAGCGGCCUGAUCUGAGGCAGCCACUUCAGAAAGUUUUCCCUGGAUUCACAUAAACUCUUCAGGUCAGAGAAUGUUAUUUCACAUUUUCGCGUUUGCCACCCCGAGAGCAGGGUGCUGCUUGUCCCACACCCGCCGCCCUGAGGUGCUGUGGCCGGGCUGUCGCUUCGGUUUACAAACGACCUUGUGUAUCCACGCGAGGAAGGGGAAAUCCUGUGGAGCGAGCCCCACCUAGGGAGGAAAACGCCGAGGGGGGGUUUCAGCGUGUCCUUGGGCUCUGCUACCUCGCGUCCCGCAUAGACGAGCGGUGACUCACAGCUCCGCCACAAAUUCCCGUCUCCAGAGU